GUACAACAAACCCCGACUUCUGGAAGGGAUGCAUUUAUUAGAUAAAAGGUCGACGCGAGCUCUGCCCGUUGCUUCUAAUACGUGCAACAAACCCCGACUUCUGGAAAGGAUGCAUUUAUUAGAUAAAAGGUUGACGCGGGCUCUUCCUGUUGCUGCGAUGAUUCAUGAUAACUCGACGGAUCGCACGGCCAUCGUGCCGGCGACGCAUCAUUCAAAUUUCUGCCCUAUCAACUUUCGAUGGUAGGAUAGAGGCCUACUGCUAUGACCCCAAAUAUUUACUUGACAUGGCUUCGUGGAAGCGUUGACAAGCAAUUUACAAGGCUGGGUGUGUGUCUUAGUUGGUGAUGGGCUUAAGCAAGGCAGCUAGACAAGGCAGCUGGAGUGUUGGCAAGGCGGCCUUGGUUUGUGGGCAUCGGCUAUGGCAAAUGGAAGCAUGGCACUUGACAAAGGCAUGCGCGGUCGCUGGGACGACUUGACUUAUAGCAGGGCGUGGAUAUGAAAAUAAGGGCGAGGCAAGGUCCAAGGAAAAGCUGGGCUGGAGCAUGCGCGGAUCGGUGGGACGACUUAAUUUAUUGCAGGGCGUGGCUAUGAAAUUAAGGGCGAGGCUAGGUCCAAGGCAAACUUGGGCAAAGGCAUACGUGGAUCGAUGGGACGACUUAAUUCAUAUGAGGCCGUGGCUAUGGAAUUAAGGGCGAGGCAAGAUCCAAGGCAAAGCUGGGCUGGAGACAAAGAAAACGUGGGCAAGGCUAGAGGCCAUCGUGCAUGGCAUGUGACAAAGUGGUGUCAAGGACAUGUGCUGGAAGUUGAAGACAUGAUCUAAGAACAUGGGCGGUUGGCUACAAAGUGGAAGACAUGGUAGCAACUGCUCGAAACCACCUAAGGCAUGUGCAUGGCACAUGGUAGAAACUGCCCCUUUGUAAUUGUCCCUUUGUAAAUGCCAUUGGCAUCCCCUCUAUAUAGAUUGUAUCUCCGUCUGUGGAGAAGGCAAGUAGCAUUACAUAUGUGAGCAAAGUCUAAAAAGAGUGUCCUUUGUAUAUUUUGCGAGAAUUAAAAAAGGUUGGGUUUUACCCGUAAAUUCUGUGUGUGUUCUUAGUUUGGCAAAAGUCUGAAAAUCCCUAAGUCAGACUGUGUGUGUGCGAAAAGUGAAGGCUGAAGUGGCGGUGAGCUGCUGUCGUGCAGUGUCUAUUUUUGCGAAAAAUUGACCCUGUAACAAUUGGUAUCAGAGCUUUUUGGUUGUAACUCUUGAUCAUGGCGGGUGGGUCUACUUCAAACUUACGUGAUAGAAUGCAACGGUUGGAGGCGCUAAUCAGCGUGACCGAUGAUCCUUUGGAUAUGGCAGAUCUUAUAACAGGCGUGAUAGAGUGCAAUGGUUGGAGGCACUAAUCGGCGUGACCGAUGAUCCUUUGGAUAUGGCAGAUCUUAUUACAGAGAUUUACCGUCUAAAGGAUGGGGCAGAUCAGUUUCGCGAUGGAGUCCAACAAAGUUGUGAAUCAACGGAUGGCGUAGUUGAAGACCUGAAGAAGGAGGUUGACAACAUGAAGGCCGAAAUCACUGUUCUUCGACGGGCGUUGGCAGCUCCAAGCCAAGGCAAUGAAGAAUGCUCGAAGGUAAAGAUUCCUGAUCCAAAGGCGUUUGGUGGAACGCGUAGUGCAAAAGAAUUGGAGAAUUUACUGUGGGAGAUGGAACCUUUUUUUUGGUUGCCAAAGUUCCAAAUGCUGAGAAGGUCACAAUUACUAGCAUGUAUCUAAUUGGAGAUGCUAAAUUGUGGUGGAGAACUCGUAGGGUGGAGGAUGAAAGUGCGGGCAGACCGAAAAUUGAUACAUGGGAGAAACUCAGAAAAGAAAUGAAGGACCAAUUCUUGCCUAGCAAUGCAUCUUGGAUUGCUCGAGACCAUUGUGGAGAACUCGUAGGGUGGACGAUGAAAGUGCGGGCAGACCGAAAAUUGAUACAUGGGAGAAGCUCAGUAAAGAAAUGAAGGACCAAUUUUUGCCUAGCAAUGCAUCUUGGCUUGCUAGAGACCAUUUGAAACGCUUGCGACAAACGGGAUCUAUGGGAGAAGCUCAGAAAAGAAAUGAAGGACCAAUUCUUGCAUACAAUGCAUCUUGGCUUGCUAGAGACCAUUUGAAACGCUUGCGUCAAACGGGAUCUAUUCGAGAUUAUUUUAAGGAAUUCUCUUCCUUAAUGUUGGAUGUUCAAAACGUGUCAAAGGACGACAAAUUGCAUAACUUUAUUUCUGGAGUGCAAGCAUGGGCGCAGAAUGAACUUAGGAGAAAGACUGUGAAGGACCUCCCAAGUGCAAUGGCUGCAGCGGAUUCACUGGUGGAUUAUCGCAGCACCCGUACUCUUUCGGAUAUUCGUCCUACUUCAAAACCUAACAAACGGGUGGAGAAGAAAGGGGAAUGGAUUAAGGAAGUUCGAGAGAAAGUUGUUGAGAAGGGCAAGGUUGUCGAUGGGGCUGUUCAAAACAAAGGCGUCGCAAACAGGAAAACUUAUGGUUGCUGGACGUGCGGAGGACCUCAUCUUGCCAGAGACAGUCCAAAUCGGGAGCGGGUAAAUGCUUUGCUUGCAAGAGAAAAUAAUCGGGAUGGAGAAGGUGAAGAAAGUGUUGCUGCCUUGGUAAAUACUUUGCAAUUGUUGAAUGUUAUCUCGUUAAAUACUACAAGUAACGAGACGAACCCUUAUUCUUUGCUGAUGCACAUUGAAAUGAGAAUUGGGGACAGAAGUGUGAUAGCAAUGGUAGAUACUGGCGCUACUCACGCCCUUAUUUCUGCCAGUUUGGUGCAUAAGUAUCGAUUGAGAGUGUCGAAAUGUCCCCUUCAUAAAGACUGUGAACACCAAAGCACAAGCCAUUGUGGGUAUGGCUUAUGAUGUUCCUAUGUCUGUUGGGAAGUGGAAACGGAAGGUCAAUUUGAUGGUGAUUCCACAAGCCAUUGUGGGUAUGGCUUAUGAUGUUCAUAUGUCUGUUGGGAAGUGGAAAGGGAAGGUCAAUUUGAUGGUGUUUCCAAUGGAAGAGUUUGAGGUGAUCCUCGGAAUUGACUUCAUGCGGAAACAUCACUUUGUUCNNNNNNNNNNNNNNNNNNNNNNNNNNNNNNNNNNNNNNNNNNNNNNNNNNNNNNNNNNNGGUAGUUCACUUUAUUCCAAUGCCUCAUUUGAACGAAGUGAUGAUCACGAAUGAUAUGUCUCUUGGUUUCGUGAAAGCUAUUUAUCCUUAUGGAGGAGAAGAAAUUCAAAGUAAGGCCUCGUUAAAUUCUGCCAUGUUGGUUGGAAAAGGGUUGAAGAAGGGAGGUGAGACUUUCCUUGCUGCUGGGGUUGAAGUGAAGCCUGAUGUUAAGGUUGAAGUGCCGGAUUGCGUUACUCAAAUCUUGAGUGACUUCACGGAGGUGAUGCCACCAGAGUUGCCUAAAACUCUGCCACCACGGAGGGCUAUUGAUCACACGAUAGAGAUGAUACCGGGUUCUAUGCUUCCUGCUCAAUCGCAUAGGGCGUUGAACAAGGUGACGGGGAAAAAUAACUAUCCUGUUCCGUUGGUGCAAGAGUUGGCUGAAUUGUGGGAGAAAUUGAGCAAGGCAUGCUGGUUCAUGAAGCUUGAUAUACGGUCUGGUUAUUGGCAGGUACGGAUAGCUGAAGUUGAUAAGUCUACAACUACUUGUGUUACGAGGUAUGGCUCAUAUGAAUUCCUUGUUAUGCCGUUCGAAUGGAUAGAUACCCCUACUACAUUUUGCAACCUCAUGAAUGACGGGUUGUAUGAGUACAUAGAUUACUUUGUCGUUGUCUACUUAGACGACAUUGUUAUCUAUAGUCAGAAUUUGGAUGAACAUAUGUCACACUUGAUAAAAGUGAUGUCUCGGUUGAGGGAGUACAAGCUAUAUGUUAAAAUAGGGAAGUGUGAAUUUGCUAAAUAGGAGAUCAAAUUUCCUGGGCACUUGGUGAGCCUUGUCUUGGUUGAGGGAGUACAAGCUGUAUGGGAAGUGUGAGUUUUCUAGACAGGAGAUCAAAUUUAAUGGGCACUUGGUGAGCCAGAAUCAGGUGCAGAUGGACCCGAAUAAGGUGCAGGUCAGUGCGGAGUGGCAUGUGCCGAAAGCUGUGAAAGAAUUGAGAUCUUUCCUCGGGUUGGCUAAUUAUUAUCAUAAAUUCAUUGAUGGUUACUCAGAGAAGUUGUUUCUUUGACGGAUGUGUUGAAGAAGAAUGUCAAAGGGAAUUGGUUGGGAAAAUGCUGGUCAGCAUUUGGUGUGUCGAAAGAAGCCAUUGCCUCAUAACCAAUCUUGCGGCUUGUUGAGUUUGAGUUACUGUUUGAAGUGCAUACAGAUACAUCCAACAAGGCUUUUGGAGGCGUGCUGGUUCAAGAAGGUCAUCCUGUGGCCUUUGAAAUAAGAAAGUUGAAUGAAGCAUAACAAAGGUAUUUGGCUCGUGAGGAGGAAGUCUUUGUUGCUGGUUAUUCCCCUACAGGACUUGUGUUAUAUUUUGUUGAUAAAUUCAAGUCUGAUGCUAUGAAUGAUCCAUUGUACAUAAACACAAUGAAUCAUGCGAAGGAAGGUAAUGUGCGACGGUACUAGAUCAAGGGCAACAAGGUAUUGCUGGAUAGAACCUUGGUUGCGAAAUAUAGUGGUCCGUUUGAAGAUCAAAUCGAGGGCUACUUGAGAUUAACCUCAACGAGGGCGUCGAGUUCAAUUGGUGGGGGUGGUUUGUUACUACCCAAAAUAUUGACAUGACGGAUGUCGGGCAGAAUUCAUAUUGAGGGAUUGUGCAUUGCCCCUUGACAUGUCUUCGUUGAAGCAUUAACAAGCAAUGUACAAGGAUGGGUGUGUGUCUAAGUUGGUGAUGGGCUUAGGCAAGGAAGCUGGAGUGUUGGCAAGGCGCCCUUGAUUCGUGGGCAUCGGCUAUGGCAAAUGGAAGCAUGGCACUUGACAAAGGCAUGCGCGGAUCUGUGGGACGACUUAAUUGAUAGCAGGGCGUGGCUAUGAAAUUAAGGGCGAGGCAAGGUCCAAGGCAAAGUGGGGCAAAGGUAUGUGCGGAUCGGUGGGACGAUUUAAUUCAUAGCAGGGCGUGGCUAUGAAAUUAUAGGCGAGGCAAGGUCCAAUACAGCAACUUGAUUCAUAGAAGGGCGUGGCUAUGAAAUUAAGGGCGAGGCAAGGUCCAAGGUAAAGCGGGGCAAAGGCGCAUGCGGAUCUGUGGGAUGACUUAACUCAUAGCAGGGUGUGGCUAUGGAAUUAAGGGCGAGGCAAGGUCCAAGGCAAAGCGGGGCUGGAGACAAAGAAAACGUGGGAAAGGCUAGAGGCCAUCGUGCAUGGCAUGUGACUAAGUGGUGUCAAUGACAUGUGAUGGAAGUUGAAGACAUGAUCUAAGAACAUGGGCGGGUUGGCUACAAAGUGGAAGACGUGGUAGCAACUGCCCGAAACCACCUAAGGCAUGUGCAUGGCACAUGGUAGAAACUGCCCCUUUGUAACUGUCCCUUUGUAACUGCCUUUGGCAGCCCCUUCUAUGGAAUUAAGGGCGAGGCAAGGUCCAAGGCAAAGCGGGGCUGGAGACAAAGAAAACGUGGGCAAGGCUAGAGGCCAUCAUGCAUGGCAAGUGACUAAGUGGUGUCAAGGACAUGUGCUGGAAGCUGAAGACAUGAUCUAAGAACAUGGGCGGGUUGGCUACAAAGUGGAAGACGUGGUAGCAACUGCCCGAAACCACCUAAGGCAUGUGCAUGGCACAUGGUAGAAACUGCCCCUUUGUAACUGUCCCUUUGUAACUGCCUUUGGCAGCCCCUUAAGUGGUGUCAAGGACAUGUGCUGGAAGCUGAAGACAUGAUCUAAGAACAUGGGCGGGUUGGCUACAAAGUGGAAGACGUGGUAGCAACUGCCCGAAACCACCAAAGGAAUGUGCAUGGCACAUGGUAGAAACUGCCCCUUUGUAAUUGUCCCUUUGUAACUGCCAUUGGCAGCCCCUUUAUAUAGAUUGCAUCUCCGUAUAUGGAGAAGGCAAGUAACAUUACAUAUAUGAGCCAAGUCUAAAAAGAGUGUCCUUUGUAUAUUCUGCGAGAAUUAAUAAAGGUUGGGUUUUCGGCCUUCUGCUGGCGAUGCGCUCCUGGCCUUAAUUGGCCGGGUCGUGCUUGCGGCGCAGUUACUUUGAAGAAAUUAAGAGUGCUCAAAGCAAGCCUACGCUCUGUAUACAUUAGCAUGGGAUGACAUACUAGGAUUUCGGUCCUAUUACGUUGGCCUUCGGGAUCGGAGUAAUGAUUAACAAGGACAGUCGGGACCCGUAGAUUCUGUGUGUGUUCUUAGUUUGGCUAAUGUCUACAAAUCCUAAGUCAGACUGUGUGUGUGUGUGCGAAAAGUGAAGGUUGAAGUGGCUGUGAACUGCUGCCGUGCAGUGUUUAUUUUUGCGAAAAAUUGACCCUAUAACACCUACUAUGGUGGUGACAGGUGACGGAGAAUUAGGGUUCGAUUCCGGAGAGGGAGCCUGAGAAACCUGCUACCACAUCCAAGGAAGGCAGCAGGCGCGCAAAUUACCCAAUCCUGACACGGGGAGGUAGUN
rnacentral:lncRNA from 1 species